rnacentral:hammerhead_ribozyme from 1 species
AUCCAGGUGACGAGUCGCAAAUAAGACGAAACGCGAGUCCUGCAU